rnacentral:tRNA from 1 species
GGAAGCGUGGCAGAGUGGUUGAAUGCACCGGUCUUGAAAGCUGGUGCAUACUGGCGCAAGUUGUUGCUUCUU